ACCCUGCUCCAGGCAGCGUGGUCUGUAUGGCUCCGCCCUGGGCAGGAGGAGAAAGAAGAGGGCCAGGCACCACGUGCCUGCACUCUCCCUGGAUGCUGGAGGCUGCUCCGCCGUGGGCAGGAGGAGAAGGAAGAGAACUGGGUGCCGCCUGCCUGCACUCUCUCCGGAUGCUGGAGGCUGGAGGCAGUGAGGCAGCAACAGCGCGAGGGCGAGGCGACUUUGGAGCUGCCUCAUGCAGCGACCUCGCCUUCCGCUGCGCCUCCUCCCAGAACCCAAGAAGCCUGGAACCUGUGGCGUCCAGCCCUGAAAGGAGGAGACGGCAACCCAGCCGCGCGUGAGUCCGGGAGUCUGGGAUACCGGCGGCAGAGGAAGGACAGGCAGGAGUCUCGGCCUCUCGGGGAGCGACGUGCCGGGAAAGGCAGGAGGGCCCCAGCGGUGGGGGCGGGGGUUGCGCGCCGGGGAGGGCGGCCUCAGGCUGGGAGCCUGGCAGAUCGUCUGACUCUCCCCGAGCCCCAUCCCAGGCCGAGCCAGGACCCCUCUGAUGCACAGGCGUCUCAGGAGCCCGUUUCUUUCUUGAAUCCGGGGCCCAGUGCGGCUUGAACCUAGCCCCCGACCUCCUCCUCGCCCUCUCAGAGUCCGCUGGGGUGGGCGCUGAAGGAGCCCGGGUCGGAGAGGAGCCCUCCCCUUCUCUCCUGCGUGGAAGCCCUGCAGCCUCCGUUUCUUUUGGGACUGGGGUCCGGGGCCUUCUGCCUGACCCGGGGUGAGAAAGGGAGCCCUGAUCAGGACCCGGUGAGAGGGCGCUGGAGCCCGGGAGCGGCAGGAGCCUUGAGCGGCAGCCCGGGAAGAGGAUGGGGUCACCUUCUGCCCCAGGUCCCCCACUGCCAGGAUCUCUGUCACCUUCUGGGGGUCCUGUCCCCUGGGGUCCCACCCCCCGGGCUGCCUGUGGGUAUCUCUCAUCUGGAACUGGAAAUAACCCUCUUCAUAGUACGGCUUAGCAAAUAUUUAUUCGCCCAUGCACCCCCCUUUUUUUUCCUUCAUAGUGUUCUUUUUGUCUUGGAUCAUUUGUGUUUUUCCUACAUUGAUGUGAAGCAUUUUUAAAGACACUUUAGAGAUUAGUCCUUUAUUGGUUCAUUUCUAUUGUAGGUUGUUGUUUCCUACUCUGGUCUUUGUUGUUUAAUUUCAGUUUUAAUUUCUUGCUUGGUUUAGUUCAUGUAACAAUAUUUUUCUUAGAAUAUUUGUAUCUGUGUUUGUGAAACAGAACAUCUAUUAUUUCUGGGUUUUUUAUUGUCUGAUCAGAUUGUGUAUUAAUGUAAUGCUGGCUUCUCGAAACAAAUUGAAAAACCAUCCCUUUCGUCUUUCUCUUUGAGAGAGAGUGAGCAGUGUCAAUAUUUUUUUCUUCCUUAAAUAUUUGGAACAUUUUCAAAGUCUGAUCCUGGUGUUUUCCUUGUGGAGCAUUAUUGUUGAUUUGUUGGAUUUUUAAAAUUAGUUAGUUAAUUUUGUUUAAUAUAUAUAGGAGUGUUCUUAUUUUAUGCUAUUUUUGUGCCAGUUUUAGUAAGUUGGGUUCAGCAUCUGUUGCGAUCUCUGUUGUCAGACUUUUGAUCAUAUGUAUUUCACAAAAUUCUCUGAUUAUCUUGUUAUAAUACUGUUAUGUAGAGUUGUUGUUUUGAUUCUGAUACUGGUCACUUGUGUUCUUUCAUCUUUUUUCCUUAAUCAGUUUUGCCUGCACUCUCCCUGGAUGCUGGAGGCUGGAGGCAGUGACGCAGCAACAGCGCGAGGCGACUUUGGAGCGGCCUCAUAUAGCGACCUCGCCUUCCGCUGCGCGUCCUCCCAGAGCCCAAGAAGCCCGGAACCUGUGGCAUCCAUCUCUGAAAGGAGAAGACGGCAACCCAGCCGAGGGUGAGUCCGGGAGUCUGGGGUGCCGGCAGCGGAGGAAGGACAAGCAGGAGUCUCGGCCUCCCGGGGAGAAUUUCACAAAAUUCUCUGAUUAUCUUGUUAUAAUACUGUUACGUAGGCUGUUGUUUUGAUUCUGAUACUGGUCUCUUGUGUUCUUUAAUCUUUUUUCCUUAAUCAGUUUUGCUAGUGGUUUAUUAACUAUGUUGUUUAUAAAAACAACUUUUAGCCUUGGUUUAUUUGUGUUAUGUUUUUUUUUCCAUUUCAUUGAUGUUUGUUAUCUUUAUUAUUGCCUUCAUCCUGUAUUCUUUGCACUUGAUUUUUCUUUCUUGAUUCUUGAGAAAAAAGUUGAGGUGCCGGGCACGUUGGCUUACGCCUGUAAUCCCAACACUUUGGGAUGCCAAGGUGGGUGGUCAGGAGUUCCAGACCAGCCUGGCCAACAUAGUGAAACCCCCAUCUAUACUAAAAAUACAAAAAUUAGCAGGGCGUGGUGGCAGACACCUGUAAUCCCAGCUACUCGGGAGGCUGAGGCAUGAGAAUCGCUUGAACCUGGGAGGUAGAGGUUGCAGUGAGCCGAGAUCGCCCCAUUGCACUCCAGCCUGGGCAACCGAACAAAACUUCUUCUCAAGAAAAAAAAAAGAAGUUGAGGUGAUUGAUUUUCAGUGUUUCUGGACUCCUGCCCUGCAGAGAUCCUCUUGCUGUAACCUGUUUCAUGUGAGGUAGAGUUUAGAAAAUAUUUAUUGGCCUCUGUGCCUUACUUUUCUUCAUAUACUCUUCUUAUUUUGUUGAUUUAUCUUUAGGGAUUUUUUUCCUUAUGUUAAAUUGAAGGACUUAUUGUUAAAAUCUGUAAGUUAGCCCUUUAUUGGCUUAUUUUUGUCAUAGGUUCUUGUUCUCUAGUUUGAUUUUUGUUGUUUCAUUUCUUUGUGUUCAUAGUUGUAUAUAGUAAUCUGGUUGAUAAUGAUCUUGUAUGCAGUAGCUUUGCUUAAUUUAUUUAUUAAUUGUAACACUUUAUGUCAUGUUAGGCUGUGCUGAGUGCUUCUGGGAGCAGCCAGGUUUCCAUGAACUCCCAGUUUACUCUAAAUACUCUAGCAGCCCACAUGUGCACACACUGGAUAAUGGUCAUGCAUGUAGAGCAAUGAUGCUGGGGAGGCACCGACUCUGUCAUUCUGUGAAUCCACCGCACAAUCACAAACAUUAGCAUUAAAAUAAAAUGGACUGUUAGGCAACUGCAAAGGACUAAUGCACCUAUGUGGCACAAAUGUGUCUUUCCGUAUUCAAAGUACUUGUAAGAGCUUCAAGUUCCUCAUACUCAGCCACUGACCUCAGGGUUCUUGGUACACAGGCAUACAUGUGCAGACACACAUACAGGCACACAUAUACACAUGAAUGCACAUAUGUGCACACAUAUUUACAGGCACAUGCAGAUGUGCACACACAGACCUGGGUGAGAAAGUCAGAUGUACAUGGAACAGCCCCUGCUUUGUAAGCUGUCUGGCUUUGUAGGGAGAAAGAGGUGAAACAACACACUUGUUAUCUUGGAAGAGGAGAUGAAGGGAGCUGAGCUGGAUAUGUCCAGUGGGGAGAAAGCCAGGAGCCACUCCACCGAAAAUCGAGGUCUCCACAUGGAUGAUACCCACAAAACAUUGGCAGGAAGGACACAGCCAGCACCACAUCAGUGGUGACUUUCAUGAGUGUCAACUGUGGCCAUCCAAAUUAAAGGCCUGGCAAUGGGAUAAGUUAGCAACUGAACUUUCUGUAUGUUACCUUAUUAACUUUCUGUAUAUUAGCUUAUUAACUUUCUGCAAUCAAAUGCUGAUUAAGCAUUUUCUGAGCCAAAAGCUUUGUGUAAUUUGAAUCUAGUGAAAAAAUGUUAUGCGUUUAACACUAUAACUUGAGAUCUAAAAACAAAAAAACAAUUGCAUAAGAAUUGGUCAGAUACCUUGUCUUUGAAACAUACUGAAGUCUUCAAAAUUAAUCUGAUAGCUCUGCAGUUGGUAUGUGGCAUAAGAAAAUAUUUGGCAUGAAGGGGAGUAACACACCACAUGAAUUCAUUCAUUAUGAAGAAAUUCAUUAUGAAUAUAUGUGGGCAAAUUAUUAACAACCCUCCCAAAAGCAGAAAGCUCAGACUCAGGAAGAUCCAUUUAAAUGGAGUGAUUUGGGAGAUGAUUUCAAGCGCAACUCUGCAUUGACUCAGCAUUUAUUAAGUCAUACAGCAGGCUACUGGAGGCCUCACUGCAGCCUGGGCUGGUAUUCAGUGUCCUCCUCCUUCCUUCUCAGUAGACUUCCUUGGCCUUGAUAAUAAUACGUGUUAACAAACACAAAUCUCAAAAUACACAUAAUGUUUCUUCCCCCACAAGCCAGGGUAUCAGCUCUGCAAAUCAGAUGACCCCAAGGUCAGUGGGGUUGACCAGGGACACCAUUCUGCAUUCCUCCUCAGCUUCCAGAUCCUGAGGAGCUCUGGGGCCUUCCUUCUGGACAGGGAACAUGUCUGCCUGGCUUCCUCAGCCAGGUACGGGAGGCUUUGGGGACCUGUGUCUGUCUCUGGGAAGGAGGAAGGAGCCUGUGGCAUCUUCCUUAAGCAAAAGCACAUCCAGCCCAUGGCCAAACUUCAGAGUGGGGCGAGGGGCCCAGCACAGCUCCUCCGUUCCUGCAGCAGAGCCCAGAAAACACAUCUGAUGUUGUGGCUGCCUCAAACCUACAAACACCAUGGGUUUGAAGUGUCCUGUUGACAUGGCCAUGGCCACUUUCCCCGUGGACCGUGGCAAGUUUUUGUUUUUGGUUUUUGUUGUUUGUUUGAGACAAGGUCUCACUUUGUGGCCCAGGCUAGAGUGCAGUGGUGCAAACUCGGCUCAUUACAGCCUCCACCUCCUGGGCUCAAGCAAUCCUUCCACCUCAGCCUCCCAAAGUGCUAGAAUUCCGGGCUUGAGCCACCGUGCCAGGCCUUGUGUAGAAGUAUUAUACAUUAUCUUUAAAAUGUAGUUUAGUGCUAAUAAUCUAAAAUUGUGUUGCCAUUUACUAUUAAUAUGCCCUUUGUGGUGCAUCUAAUAAAAUGCUUUGCUUCAUAACCUGAAACAAAAAAACUUUCACUAUAUUUACUUGAUCAGAUCAACAACUAUAGAAGUCUUAGAAUAAUGAUAUUCUUACUCAAAAGAAAAGCAACAACUCAUCUUUAAUGAAACUGUUUCUGUGUUUUAUUAGUGGUUGAGAAAUAACACAUUCCUUCAGCAGUGGCAGCAGUCAGAUACCAUAUGAAUUUUUUAUUUUUUUUUACUUUGAUAAAUCCUGAGGCUCUGUUGAGGAAGAAGCUUCCACAGUAGGCCCUAGGAGAGCUGCAGCCACCAUGUCCACACUGUGUUAUGCACAAAUGGGAAUGUAGUUUCCCAGAGAAAACAACUUCUGUGGGUAGAUUUGUGAUCGAAGUUUGUGAAUAGCUUUAAAAAAUCCUUAUGAAGGCCAGGCACAGUGGCUCACGCCUGUAAUCUCAGCACUUUGGGAGGCUGAGGCAGGCAGAUCACCUGAGGUCAGUUCGAGACCAGCUUGACCAACAUGGAGAAACCCCAUCUCUACUAAAAAUACAAAAAUUAACCAGGCAUAGUGGCACAUGCCUGGAAUCCCAGCUACUUGGGAGGCAGAGGCAGGAGAAUUGCUUGAACCUGGGAGGCAGAGGUUGCAGUGAGCUGAGAUCGCACCAUUGCACACAAGCCUGGGCAACAACAGCGAAACUCUAUCUUAAAAAAAAAAAAGAAAAGAAAAGAAAAAAAAAGGCUGGGCAUGAUGACUCAUGCCUGUAAUCCCAGCACUUUGGGAGGCUGAAGCGAGCAGAUCACCUGAGGUUGGGAGUUCAAGACCAGCCUGAUCAAUGUGGAGAAACCCCGUCUCCACUAAAAAUACAAACAAUUAGUUGGGCGUCGUGGCACAUGCCUGUAAUCCCAGCUACUCAGGAGGCUGAGGCAUGAGAAUCGCUUGAAUCUGGCAGGCGGAAGUUGCGGUGAGCCAAGAUCGCGUUACUGCGCUCCAGCCUGGGCAACAAAAGUGAAACUCCAUCUCAAAAAAAAAAAAAAAAAAUCCUCAGGAAGAUUAUUUACUUAUAAUCUCCUCCUUCCUUAAUUAGCAGUCUCAGCAUUUCUGCAAUAACCAAGUCUCAGCAUCCAGUGAAGCAGCCUGCAACAUGCGGGAGCUCAGGGCAUUGCCACUGCACAUGGGGCACCUGGUGGGACUUUGGCAAGGAUUUUGUCAUUAACACUGAGCAAAACUCUACGAAGACAGAGGCAUUCUUUUAGAUUAAAAACUAACAACAUAAGGCGGGACAUGGUGGCUCACACUUGUAAUCCCAACACUUCGGGAGGUCAAGGGGGACAGAUCACUUGAGCUGAGGAGCUCAACACCAUCCUGGACAACAUGGCGAAACCCGUCUCUACUAAAAAUACAAAAAUUAGCUGAGCGUCAUGGUGCACACCUAUAAUCCCAGCUAUUCAGGAGGCUGAGGUGGGAGAAUCGCUUGAACCCAAGAGCAGAGGUAGCAGUGAGCUGAGAUUGUGCCACCACACUCCAGCCUGGGCAACAGAGUGAGACGCUUACAGAAAAUCUUUAAUUUCUAUAGAAAAUCUUCAGUCUUCUAUAGAAGAAAAUUAAAUAUUACAAAAUUGAAGAUUAGAAAAUUACAUAGAGAGCCGGGCAUGGUGGCUCACACCUGUAUUCCCAGCACUUUGGGAGGCCAGGGUGGGUGGAUCACCCAAGGUCAGGCGUUCGUGACCAGCCUGGCCAACAUGGUGAAGCCCCGUCUCUAUUAAAAAUACAAAAAAUUAGCCAGGUGUAGUGGCGGGUGCCUGUAAUCCCAGCUACUCAGGAGACUGAGGCAGGAGAAUCACUUGAACCCAGGAUGCGGAGGUUGCAGAGAGCAGAGAUUGCGCCACUGCACUCCAGGCUGGGUGACAAGAGCUAAACUCUAUCUCAAAAUUAGAGAGAAAGAGAGAGAGAGACAGAGAGAAAGAAAAGAAAAGAAAAAGAGAGAAAGAAAAGAAAAAAGAAAAGAAUGAUUGAUUCCAUAGAGAAACAGGUAUUUAUCAAUCUUCUUGAUUCUGGUGCUCAUCACAAGGCUGCAAGUUACUCAGUUCCACCGUCUUUUGCAUCUGUGGUUGUGGUUGAAAGGAAUGGCCUGAAUCAUGCACCUCAUAACUCACAGAGUGGCCCCAUGCCUUCCAGUUUUCUUUUUUUUUCACUGAGGUUCUGAAUUACCCAUGUAGUUUAAGGAGUUUUGUUGUUCUUCACAAUUCUGUCUGUGGCUAAUCUUAUGUCCAUGGGAUUCAUUUGAGUCUGGAACAUGUCCCAGAUGGCAAGAUGCAGCAUGCCAUGAUAUUUUCAAAAUCCAUGAACAUGGUUGUUUGGCAGUUCCACAGUAAAUAUGUAUUUGGAGCCUUAAGCUAUUUCUUUCAUGAUAUAUGCUCAGGUACUGAUAGCGACACUGUUGAAUUCUACUUGAGCCCUGAGGCACUGGGAAACUGUGAUGGUUAAAGAAAUCCCCACCUUGUGUUCCUGCCUUACCGCAAAGAAUUCCCCUUCCCCGUUGACUUAGCUAAGACUCACGGAUCCCCCUCAAAGGAUGUCCCACCUAUGACAAGGUCAGACACAGACCCCCCCAAAUGCUGUCCUUGUUUCAUGAAAGUUUAGCUGAACUGCUUGUCCCCACAGAUUCAUCAGGAUAUAAUGCUAAUUAACUCAGCUUUGAUAUGGGCUUUACCAUGUCCUUCAGGACCUGCUUAUUAGUUAGAGACCCCUUGGACUGCAUAACUUCUUCAAAGACAUUUUAUUUUAUGCUUAAUCAUAUAGAAAUAUAAUGAUUUGAUAGAUUAACCAAUGUGGUUUUCCUCCCUUGUUCUCCAGUUUCCCACUAUUUCUCUCCCAUUUAGUCUAAACCUUGGCAUCUCCUCUUUCAAAGGGGAAGUUUUAACAAAAGGACAAAGAGAAAGAAAAGAGUAGACACUCACAUUUUGAAUUUUAAUAAACUUGGAAGAAUGAUGACACAAGAGUGAGUUUGUCCCAUCCCAGAGCAGAUGAGGAGCUUCUGAAUGAGAGUGGGGGAAGGGAUUGUGCUGUUGACACUCGAUGGCAAUUACACUGAUGCAGACAGGGACCUUGAGUGGUGGGGGGCUGAGAGUGCUGAGUGCACCUCCCCGGGCAGACAAGAAGAAACUUGCAAGUGCAGGCACAAGAUGAGGAAUCACAGUGAAACUUACCACAACAUUCAGCCUCUAUUCAGGAGAUACUUCACAACACUUGCCAGGUACUUUUCUAGGCACUGGACAUACCGCAAAUAAUAAAGCCAUAAAAAAAAAUAUGUCCCUGUGGAACUUGCAAUUUUGUGCAGAAGAGCAAAUAGUUCACUAAAGAACUAAGCACAACUGGCCAUGCAUGGUGGCUCACACCUGUAAUCCCAGCACUUAGGGAGGCUGAAUUGGGUGAAUCAUGAGGUCAGUAGAUCAAGACCAUCCUGGCUACCAUGGUGAAACCCCGUCUCUACUAAAAAAUACAAAAAAAUUAGCUGGGCGUGGUGGCGGG
rnacentral:lncRNA from 1 species